rnacentral:rRNA from 1 species
GACGUAGGGGGCGAGCGUUGUCCGGAAUUACUGGGCGUAAAGGGCGUGUAGGCGGCCUUUCAAGUCGGCUGUGAAAUACCCCGGCUCAACCGGGGGGGUGCAGUCGAAACUGGGGGGCUUGAGUGCAGGAGAGGGGGGUGGAAUUCCCGGUGGAGCGGUGAUAUGCGUAGAUAUCGGGAGGAACACCGGUGGCGAAGGCGACCUUCUGGCCUGUUACUGACGCUGAGGCGCGAAAGCCGGGGGAGCAAACAGGAUUAGAUACCCUGGUAGUCCCGGCCGUAAACGCUGGGUACUAGGUGUAGGGGGCUUUGAUGCCUUCUGUGCCGUAGUUAACGCAUUAAGUACCCCGCCUGGGGAGUACGAUCGCAAGGUUGAAACUCAAAGGAAUUGACGGGGGCCCGCACAAGCGGUGGAGCAUGUGGUUUAAUUCGAUGCAACGCGAAGAACCUUACCAGGGCUUGACAUCUGCCUGACGGUCUGUGGAAACAUGGGCUUUCCUUCGGGACAGGUGGACAGGUGGUGCAUGGCU